rnacentral:rRNA from 1 species
CUCGUAGGCGGCUUGUCGCGUCGAAUGUGAAAACCCACAGCUCAACUGUGGGCUUGCAUUCGAUACGGGCAGGCUAGAGUUCGGUAGGGGAGACUGGAAUUCCUGGUGUAGCGGUGAAAUGCGCAGAUAUCAGGAGGAACACCGGUGGCGAAGGCGGGUCUCUGGGCCGAUACUGACGCUGAGGAGCGAAAGCGUGGGGAGCGAACA